rnacentral:rRNA from 1 species
CCUACGGGGGGCAGCAGUGGGGAAUAUUGGACAAUGGGUGAAAGCCUGAUCCAGCCAUGCCGCGUGUGUGAAGAAGGCCUUCGGGUUGUAAAGCACUUUCAGUGGGGAAGAAAGCCUUGGGGCUAAUACCCUCGAGGAAGGACAUCACCCACAGAAGAAGCACCGGCUAACUCCGUGCCAGCAGCCGCGGUAAUACGGAGGGUGCGAGCGUUAAUCGGAAUUACUGGGCGUAAAGCGCGCGUAGGCGGUCUGAUAAGCCGGUUGUGAAAGCCCCGGGCUCAACCUGGGAACGGCAUCCGGAACUGUCAGGCUAGAGUGCAGGAGAGGAAGGUAGAAUUCCCGGUGUAGCGGUGAAAUGCGUAGAGAUCGGGAGGAAUACCAGUGGCGAAGGCGGCCUUCUGGACUGACACUGACGCUGAGGUGCGAAAGCGUGGGUAGCAAACAGGAUUAGAUACCCCGGUAGUC